rnacentral:rRNA from 1 species
CAGCCGCCGCGGUAAUACGUAGGUGGCAAGCGUUGUCCGGAUUUAUUGGGCGUAAAGGGAGCGCAGGCGGUUUAGUAAGUCUGAAGUUAAAGGCAUUGGCUCAACCAAUGUAUGCUUUGGAAACUGUUAGACUUGAGUGCAGAAGGGGAGAGUGGAAUUCCAUGUGUAGCGGUGAAAUGCGUAGAUAUAUGGAGGAACACCGGUGGCGAAAGCGGCUCUCUGGUCUGUCACUGACGCUGAGGCUCGAAAGCGUGGGUAGCGAACAGGAUUAGAUACCCCAGUAGUCCCUGUCUCUUAUACA